rnacentral:rRNA from 1 species
UGCAAGUCGAACGGUGAUGUCAGAGCUUGCUCUGGCGGAUCAGUGGCGAACGGGUGAGUAACACGUGAGUAACCUGCCCCCGACUCUGGGAUAACUGCUAGAAAUGGUAGCUAAUACCGGAUAUGACGACUGGCCGCAUGGUCUGGUCGUGGAAAGAAUUUCGGUUGGGGAUGGACUCGCGGCCUAUCAGGUUGUUGGUGAGGUAAUGGCUCACCAAGCCUACGACGGGUAGCCGGCCUGAGAGGGUGACCGGCCACACUGGGACUGAGACACGGCCCAGACUCCUACGGGAGGCAGCAGUGGGGAAUAUUGCACAAUGGGCGCAAGCCUGAUGCAGCAACGCCGCGUGAGGGAUGACGGCCUUCGGGUUGUAAACCUCUUUUAGUAGGGAAGAAGCGAAAGUGACGGUACCUGCAGAAAAAGCACCGGCUAACUACGUGCCAGCAGCCGCGGUAAUACGUAGGGUGCAAGCGUUGUCCGGAAUUAUUGGGCGUAAAGAGCUCGUAGGCGGUUUGUCGCGUCUGCUGUGAAAUCCCGAGGCUCAACCUCGGGUCUGCAGUGGGUACGGGCAGACUAGAGUGCGGUAGGGGAGAUUGGAAUUCCUGGUGUAGCGGUGGAAUGCGCAGAUAUCAGGAGGAACACCGAUGGCGAAGGCAGAUCUCUGGGCCGUAACUGACGCUGAGGAGCGAAAGCAUGGGGAGCGAACAGGAUUAGAUACCCUGGUAGUCCAUGCCGUAAACGUUGGGAACUAGAUGUGGGGACCAUUCCACGGUCUCCGUGUCGCAGCUAACGCAUUAAGU